ACUUCAUGAUAUUGACUUCUCCAACUGCCACAAACUUGCUGAAAAUGAGGGCAAAUUUCUUGAGAGGUCAUUACUGAGUAAGAAAUUUCGUCAGGAUCUUCGGAUUGAAAUAUUUCUUCCUGGAAGUGAGAUUCCAGAUUGGUUUAGCCAUUUUAGUGAAAAGGAUUCUUUAUCAUUCCAAGUACCCUCACAGAAGUGCGAGAAAAUCAGAGCCUUGGUUCUUUGUGCCAUUUUAAGUUUAAAGGAUGGAGAGACAGCAAACAUAUCACGUGAAGUUUUCAUCAAUGGUCAAAAUGUGAUAAUGUUUUCCAGACAGUUCUUUUCAUUGGAGUCGGAUCAUAUGUGGUUGUACUAUCUUCCACGUCGUUUUAUUAAAGGGCUUGCAUUUGAAGCACGACGGUUUGUCUCACUUUGAGGUUUCAUUUAAAGUCCUUGGAGUAUCAAUUGGUUCAAUCCUGAAAAGUUGCGGGGUCUAUCUGGUUUACAAGCAAGAUGAGGUAGUGGAGGAUCCAAGUGUUAGCCAAUCUGUAAGUCGUCAAAUGGAGUCAACGUCAUUUGAUCUCAAGAGAAGUUGUGAUAAUGACUUGGAACUCGAUCUUGAUUUGAACUUGAAGUUGAAGAAAAGGACGACUGAAGAGUCUCAAAUAGCUAAAAACUGCACUGAGUGGCACCUUGAGCCUCCAACGCCAUUCAAUACUUGUGAGCAUCAGGGGAAACAGUGGCUUUCCUUAUCUCUACAACCACACAGGAAUCAAAUGACGGAGGAUCAUGUAGCAAUGUUCAGCACUCAUGGCAGUUAGUGUGAGCUCACUUUGCAACAGAUGCUCUGAUGACUCACGAUCCAGUGGGCUUGAGAGAUUUGGAAAAUUUGUAGGAAUAACAAUGAUUGGUUGCCAGUGAUUCAAUAAUAGGCACCCAAAAUUACUGAACAAUUUCUUCUUCCUCUAGUAUCCUUGGCAGAUUUGUGAACAAAUGCUUACGAGAGUAACACAGCA
rnacentral:misc_RNA from 1 species